CAGCCGCCACGGUAAUACGUAGGGUGCGAGCGUUAAUCGGAAUUACUGGGCGUAAAGCGGGCGCAGACGGUUACUUAAGCAGGAUGUGAAAUCCCCGGGCUCAACCUGGGAAUUGCGUUCUGAACUGGGUGGCUAGAGUGUGUCAGAGGGGGGUAGAAUUCCACGUGUAGCAGUGAAAUGCGUAGAGAUGUGGAGGAAUACCGAUGGCGAAGGCAGCCCCCUGGGCCAAUACUGACGCUCAUGCACGAAAGCGUGGGGAGCAAACAGGAUUAGAUACCCGUGUAGUCCCUGUCUCUUAUAC
rnacentral:rRNA from 1 species